rnacentral:rRNA from 1 species
UGGUGCUUGCACUAUCACUUAGCGGCGGACGGGUGAGUAAUGCUUAGGAAUCUGCCAUUUAGUGGGGGACAACAUUCCGAAAGGAAUGCUAAUACCGCAUACGUCCUACGGGAGAAAGCAGGGGAUCUUCGGACCUUGCGCUAAAUGAUGAGCCUAAGUCGGAUUAGCUAGUUGGUGGGGUAAAGGCCUACCAAGGCGACGAUCUGUAGCGGGUCUGAGAGGAUGAUCCGCCACACUGGGACUGAGACACGGCCCAGACUCCUACGGGAGGCAGCAGUGGGGAAUCUUGCGCAAUGGGCGAAAGCCUGACGCAGCCAUGCCGCGUGAAUGAUGAAGGUCUUAGGAUUGUAAAAUUCUUUCACCGGGGACGAUAAUGACGGUACCCGGAGAAGAAGCCCCGGCUAACUUCGUGCCAGCAGCCGCGGUAAUACGAAGGGGGCUAGCGUUGCUCGGAAUUACUGGGCGUAAAGGGCGCGUAGGCGGAUCGUUAAGUCAGAGGUGAAAUCCCAGGGCUCAACCCNGGAACUGCNUNNGAUACUGGCGAUCUUGAGUAUGAGAGAGGUAUGUGGAANUCCGAGUGUAGAGGUGAAAUUCGUAGAUAUUCGGANGAACACCAGUGGCGAAGGCGACAUACUGGCUCAUUACUGACGCUGAGGUACGAAAGCAUGGGGAGCAAACAGGAUUAGAUACCCUGGUAGUCCAUGCCGUAAACGAUGUNUANUAGCCGUUGGGNCCUUUGAGGNCUUUAGUGGCGCAGNUAACGCGAUAAGUAGNCCGCCUGGGGAGUACGGUCGCAAGACUAAAACUNNAAUGAAUUGACGGGGGCCCNCNCAAGCGGUGGAGCAUGNGGUUUAAUUCGAUGCAACGNGAAGAACCUUACCUGGUNUUGACAUAGUAAGAACUUUCCAGAGAGGGAUUGUUGCCUUCGGGAACUAACAUACAGGUGCGGCAUGGGUGUGGUCAGCUUGUGUUCUGAGAUGUUGGGUUAAGUCCCGCAACGGGGGCAACCCUUUUCUUUAUUUGCCAGCACUUCGGGUGGGAACUUUAAGGAUACUGCCAGUGACAAACUGGAGGAAGGCGGGGACGACGUCAAGUCAUCAUGGCCCUUACGACCAGGGCUACACACGUGCUACAAUGGUCGGUACAAAGGGUUGCUACCUAGCGAUAGGAUGCUAAUCUCAAAAAGCCGAUCGUAGUCCGGAUUGGAGUCUGCAACUCGACUCCAUGAAGUCGGAAUCGCUGUAAUCGCGAUCA